UCAGGCAGUUCCCAAAAUAUUAGUCAAUGCUCGAAAGAGUGAACUAGCUACUGAAUCAAUAAAAUAAUUGAUAACAUAAGGGAAAAUAAUGAUAUUACCUUAUUAUUAGUGUCGUCCAAAACUGGUGCCAGAAGACUCGGUAAGGCCAGAGACACAAACGUUAAUCGUCUUAAUCAGGCGUAAAGGGUUUGUAGGCGGCUUUAAAAUUUACUAACAAAUAAAUAAAUAAAAAGUAAAGAAUAAAAGCUAGAAUCAAAUAGAGGAUAUAUGAAAUAAUGUUUAGAGUAGGUCUGAUAUCCUUAGAUACUAAGUAGAAUAUUAAAGGCGAAAGCUUUUUUCCAUUAAUGAUUGACGCUCAGAAACGAAAGUGAGGAUAGGAAAUAGGAUUUGAUACCCAAAAUACCCCUCUCUGUCAACGAUGAAUGGUAAUUUAUUAGUAUAAUUAUUAAUAAUAAUGUUAACACGAUAACCAUUCCGCCUUGUGAGUACAACUGCAAAGUUGAAAACAAAAAAAUUAGUCGGUUUCGGAGCAAACGAAGUGAAGCAUGUUAUUUAAUUCAAUAAAUCCGCA
rnacentral:rRNA from 1 species